GUGGUAAUACCGGAUGCUCCGCUCCAUCGCAUGGUGGGGUGGGAAAUGCUUUUGCGGCAUGGGAUGGGGUCGCGUCCUAUCAGCUUGUUGGCGGGGUGAUGGCCCACCAAGGCGUUGACGGGUAGCCGGCCUGAGAGGGUGACCGGCCACAUUGGGACUGAGAUACGGCCCAGACUCCUACGGGAGGCAGCAGUGGGGAAUAUUGCACAAUGGGCGCAAGCCUGAUGCAGCGACGCCGCGUGCGGGAUGGAGGCCUUCGGGUUGUAAACCGCUUUUGUUCAAGGGCAAGGCACGGUUUCGGCCGUGUUGAGUGGAUUGUUCGAAUAAGCACCGGCUAACUACGUGCCAGCAGCCGCGGUAAUACGUAGGGUGCGAGCGUUAUCCGGAUUUAUUGGGCGUAAAGGGCUCGUAGGCGGUUCGUCGCGUCCGGUGUGAAAGUCCAUCGCCUAACGGUGGAUCUGCGCCGGGUACGGGCGGGCUGGAGUGCGGUAGGGGAGACUGGAAUUCCCGGUGUAACGGUGGAAUGUGUAGAUAUCGGAAAAGAACACC
rnacentral:rRNA from 1 species